UACGUAGGUGGCAAGCGUUGUCCGGAUUUACUGGGCGUAAAGGGCGUGCAGGCGGUUUGUUAAGUUCAGGGUGAAAGCCCCCGGCUCAACUGGGGAGGGUCAUUCGAUACUGUUCGACUCGAAGGCAGGAGAGGGAAGUGGAAUUCCCGGUGUAGUGGUGAAAUGCGUAGAUAUCGGGAGGAACACCAGUGGCGAAGGCGACUUCCUGGCCUGUUCUUGACGCUGAGGCGCGAAAGCUAGGGGAGCAAACGGG
rnacentral:rRNA from 1 species